rnacentral:rRNA from 1 species
GAUGAACGCUGGCGGCGUGCCUAAUACAUGCAAGUCGAGCGAACAGACGAGGAGCUUGCUCCUCUGACGUUAGCGGCGGACGGGUGAGUAACACGUGGAUAACCUACCUAUAAGACUGGGAUAACUUCGGGAAACCGGAGCUAAUACCGGAUAAUAUAUUGAACCGCAUGGUUCAAUAGUGAAAGACGGUUUUGCUGUCACUUAUAGAUGGAUCCGCGCCGCAUUAGCUAGUUGGUAAGGUAACGGCUUACCAAGGCAACGAUGCGUAGCCGACCUGAGAGGGGGGUAGGCCACACGGGAACUGAGCCACCGUCCAGACUCCUACGGGAGGCAGCAGUAGGGAAUCUUCCGCAAUGGGCGAAAGCCUGACGGAGCAACGCCGCGUGAGUGAUGAAGGUCUUCGGAUCGUAAAACUCUGUUAUUAGUGAAGAACAAAUGUGUAAGUAACUAUGCACGUCUUGACGGUACCUAAUCAGAAAGCCACGGCUAACUACGUG